AGGUUUGGUUUUCCGAUCCAUUUUCUUAAUCAAUUUUUAACUAUACAACAUAUAUAAAGACAACUAAUUUGCUGGCAUUAAUCCACGAGUUAUCUUUGGUGUUCUUAGCUGGUGAAUAUCCAUUUCUGUGUAGAUUUGAUAAACAAUUCACAAGAAGAAGUUCGUCAUAAAGUUUUGGUACAAUGGAGAACCAUAACAGUUUACUUGGGAUUAGAGAGUAUAUAUCCUUCUUUUAGAGAGAAACAUGUUGAUGCAGUAUGUUGGUUCCUCUUGGGAUGACUUAAAACAUGUAAUGCAGGUUGUAGGAUUCUUGGUUUUGCAAGAGAAAGCAAAGAUUACAUACGAUGAUCUUACAACUGACUUGUGCCCUGUGGUUGCCCUGUUAUAAGAGGAAACAAGUGGUAUUCUACUAAGUGGAUGCAUGUUGGUGAGUACAAGCUCUAUUUAUGAGAUUUCAGCAACAUGC